ACCUUAGCCUUCUAUCUCA
rnacentral:snRNA from 1 species